UGACCCUCAAAAUCUCUCUCCAGGCGCCCCUCUCCCUUCCCCCUACCUUUCCGGUGAGCAUCUCCAACCUUCAGGAAGUGCCUUCCAUUUGCGACGAGCCCUGCAGGGAAACUCUCCGGCAGCUCUUAACAGAAUUGCACUGACGCACGGACUGGAGUCGUCAGUCAGUCAGAGAGACAGACACUUCUCUGAUGCAACUCAAGCCACACCCCCUCUGUCUUCUAGCUUGGCGCCUUUUCAUCAGCUCAGUUCCUGAUUGGAGNAACAAGGCAAAAUAUGUGUGACAUAAUACAGAAGAAGUUGUCAUUCAAUUUAUUACUCUUCANUCGCCGUAGCCUCACAAGGCUCUAAGCAUUAAGAUCUGCAUUUUGUUCUGAAGUAGGGGCGGUCCCUGCUUAUGAGCUUGGCAAGUAGUAAUAAUACGUUCUCUGAAGACGGAACCAGGAAGGAAUGCACAAAGGGUUAACUUCGGCUUCUCUGCAGGAAAGCAACAGAUGACGCCAAGCUCAAAGCUUAUAAAAGUAAGCCCUUGCCCCGUCCUUCUGUGACUUCCUGUCAUCUUCGCUUGGAAUUGAGGGCUGCAGACCUAGCUCUGUCCUCGGGUAACAUUGAGGAGGACCCCCCGACCCUGCCAUCUGAGCCGAUGGUGUAGUGUCCAGGGAACCUACAGCAGAGGAGAUUUGCGCACUUCAACUCCUUGCUCAGCGUUUUGUAAAAGCUUCACUGCAACCUGGCUUAUUAUAUCUGGCAAGAGACCACUCCUCCUGCCCCGAGGGACUGUUGGGGACUCCCCCUCUCCGGGCUGGCUCCCAGGGCUUGACCAGUCAGCCCCACCAUCCAUAGCUAGCUUGUUUCCACGAAGCGCGCACUUGAUUAUGGAGGCUGAACCCCAGCCCCAAGAAGGCAGCCCGACAGUGCUAUGCUUCCUANAACAAUAAGUCUGAUGCCAUAUGUGGUCAUGUCAGCUACUCUUGGUACACAUCGGACAGUUUCUAUCGGGCGAGUGAGACCAAUAUAUUUUCACCUAGCAAAUCAUCAGCCAGCAUUCUGUGCUUGUAGAAUUAAACCCCUGGAAGCUUCAUCCUGUUUGAAUGAUGAUUCUGUAAGCUUGAACCUCCAUCCAUGUAACUCUGAAUGCAUGCUUUGACAGAUAAAUAAACCUUAUUUUAAAGUAAGUUGUACUGAGUGG
rnacentral:lncRNA from 1 species